GGUCAAGUUACUAAGAGCAUAGGGAGAAUGCCUUGGCACUGGGAGCCGAAGAAGGACGUGACAAGCUGCGAAAAGCUGCGAUGAGGUGCAAAUAACCGAUUAGUCGCAGAUAUCCGAAUGGGGAAACCCGGCAGGUAGAAGACCUGUCACCCGCAUAUGAAUAAAAUAGUAUGCGAGGAGGGAACUCGGGGAACUGAAACAUCUAAGUACCCGAAGGAAGAGAAAGAAAACUCGAUUUUCCAAGUAGCGGCGAGCGAAAGGGAAAGAGCCUAAACCGUAUUUAUACGGGGUAAUGGGAUAUGCAAAGGAGAUCUAAAGAGAAGCCGAAGCGCAUGGGAAGGCGCACCAUAGGGAGUAAGAGUCUCGUAGGCGAAAUUGAUAGAUACAGGCAUAUUUCCGGAGUACCACGGGACACGUGAAACCCUGUGGGAAUUAGGGGGGACCACCCCCCAAGGCUAAAUACUACCCAGUGACCGAUAGAGAAUAGUACCGUGAGGGAAAGGUGAAAAGAACCCCGGGAGGGGAGUGAAACAGAACCUGAAACCCUAUGCUUACAAGCAGUGGGAGCGAUAAGUGACCGCGUGCUUUUUGUAGAACGGACCAGCGAGUUACGAUGUGUAGCAAGGUUAACUGCUUAAGGCAGGAAGCCGAAGGGAAACCGAGUCUUAAUAGGGCGUAUAGUUGCAUGUUGUAGACCCGAAACCGUGUGAUCUACCCAUGUCCAGGGUGAAGCGUGAGUAAAAUCACGUGGAGGCCCGAACCGGUGUCUGUUGAAAAAGGCUCGGAUGAGGUGUGGGUAGCGGAGAAAUUCCAAUCGAACACGGAGAUAGCUGGUUCUCCCCGAAAUAGCUUUAGGGCUAGCGUUAAGGGAUGAAUAGUGGAGGUAGAGCACUGAAUUGGCUAGGGGGCGUAUAGCUUACCGAACCAUAUCAAACUCCGAAUGCCACAUAUUUUACCUUGGCAGUCAGACUGCGUGAGAUAAGUUUCGUAGUCGAAAGGGAAACAGCCCAGACCAUCAGCUAAGGUCCCAAAGUGUAAGUUAAGUGGGAAAGGAUGUGCAAUUGCUAAGACAACUAGGAUGUUGGCUUAGAAGCAGCCACUCAUUUAAAGAGUGCGUAAUAGCUCACUAGUCGAGUGAUUGUGCGCCGAAGAUUACCGGGGCUAAAACUUACCACCGAAGCUAUGGCUUGCAGAUUAAUCUGCAGGGG
rfam:Alkalibacter saccharofermentans DSM 14828 genome assembly, contig: EJ14DRAFT_scaffold00035.35